UACGUAGGGUGCAAGCGUUGUCCGGAAUUAUUGGGCGUAAAGAGUUCGUAGGCGGUUUGUCGCGUCCGUUGUGAAAGCUUGGGGCUCAACCCCAAGUCUGUAGUGGAUACGGGCAGACUAGAGUCAGGUAGGGGAGAACGGAAUCCGUGGAUGUAGCGGUGAAAUGACGCAGAUAUCAGGAGGAACACCGGUGGCGAAGGCAAUCCCCCUGGGCCUGCACUGACGCUCAUGCACGAAAGCGUGGGGAGCAAACAGG
rnacentral:rRNA from 1 species